AUGCCGCCCAUCGACCCCAAGAACUUUCGGCAGACGCUGCAUAGCCGGAGGGCGCCACCCGCCAACACCAACCUUGCUUUGCUGCCUGCGAGGGGAGCUCAACGUGCUCUUUUUGGCUGCGUCUCCAUGACCGCAAGGUGUUCGACGCUUUGCUCACAAGGUACCAUGGAUAGCGGGGAUGAGUAUUUCUUUCACAACUUCAUUUGUUCAUCGGAUGAUUCGUCCUUGGAUGACGAAGAGCUUGUGGUGGAUGCAUUGGUCGUCCAUGACCACAUUGGUAGGCAGCGGCCUCGGUUCAGGGGAUCAAUCCCGGGGCAUGCUCCGGCCUUGAACCGCAAUAGGGAGAGCGGCCACGCCCCACUCUAUGCCGAUUACUUUGAGAAUACCGCACUCUUCAAACCACAUCAAUUUCAUCGCCGCUUCCGAAUGAGACAUGUGUUGAAUCGUAUUCGGGAGGGAGUGGUAGGAUAUGACCCAUACUUUGAGUGCAAAGAGGAUGCCCUUGGCAAGCUUGGCUUCUCUUCUUGCCAGAAAUGGACUGCGGCUAUUCGCAUGCUUGCAUAUGGAAUUUCUGGUGAUCUUGUGGAUGAGUACGUGCGUAUGAGUAAGUCCACAUGUCUCCUCUCAAUGUAUAGUUCCUGCAAGGCCGUGGUGGCAGUGUUCUGCCCUGAGUACCUGAGAGAGCCAACUGCCGUUGAUACAGGGAGGUUGUUGGCGAUCAAUGCUGAGAGGGGCUUUCCGGGCAUGCUUGGUAGUAUAGAUUGUAUGCACUAG
rnacentral:rRNA from 1 species